AGUACUGGGAUUACAGGCAUGAGCCACUGCACCCGGCCAAAAGUGGGUUUUGAUGAAUAGUAACGUCAUCCUCAAAUAUGAAGAGUAUUGGUUGUAAUGUUGCUUGGAGGAAAUUGAUAAGCACUUUUUAAGAAAAGUAGAUUGUAUUAGGAUACAUGUGUAGAAUGUGCAGGUUUUUUACGUAGGUGUACAUAUGCCAUGGUGGUUUGCUCCACCUAUCACUCCCCUUGUCCCUCACCCUCCAACAGGCCCCAGUGUGUGAUGCUCCCCUCCCUGUGCCCAUGUGUUCUCAUUGUUCAACUCGCAUUUAUGAGUGAGAACAUGUGGAGUUUGAUUUUCUGUUCCUG
rnacentral:lncRNA from 10 species